rnacentral:rRNA from 1 species
UACGGAGGGUGCAAGCGUUGCUCGGAAUUAUUGGGUGUAAAGGGUAGGUAGGUGGUCUCAUUUGUCUGGGGUGAAAGCCUUGAGCUUAACUCGAGAAGUGCCCCAGAAACGGUGAGACUGGAGUCCUGGAGAGGGUCGUGGAAUUCCCGGUGUAGCGGUGAAAUGCGUAGAGAUCGGGAGGAACACCAGAGGCGAAGGCGGCGACCUGGACCAGCACUGACACUGAGGCACGAAAGCGUGGGGAGCAAACAGG